rnacentral:snRNA from 1 species
AUCUUUGCUCUUGGGGAAAUGACGCACUUAGUGAGAUGAAACCGAUACGCGUCAAUUGCUGGUUGAAAACUAUUUCCAUUUCAUUAAUAAAUAAUGAAUACCAUUAUCAAUGG